rnacentral:rRNA from 1 species
GGGCUCACACAAGCGGUGGAGCAUGUGGUUCAAUUCGAAGCAACGCGCAGAACCUUACCUGGGCUUGACAUGCUUGGAUUAUCCCUAUGAAAGUAGGGUACGCCCUUCGGGGUGGAACAAGUACAGGUGCUGCAUGGCUGUCGUCAGCUCGUGUCGUGAGAUGUCGGGUUAAGUCCCUUAACGAGCGAAACCUUUGCCCUUAGUUACCAUCGAGUAAAGUCGGGGACUCUAAGGGGACUGCCGGUGUCAAACCGGAGGAAGGUGGAGAUGACGUCAAGUCCUCAUGGCCUUUAUGCCCAGGGCUACACACGUGCUACAAUGCGGUGCAUAAAGCGAACCGAGAGCGCAAGCUGGAGGAAAUCGCACAAAUCACCGCCCAGUUCAGAUCGGAGGCUGCAACUCGCCUCCGUGAAGUUGGAAUCGCUAGUAAUCGCGGAUCAGCUACGCCGCGGUGAAUGUGUUCCUGAGCCUU